rnacentral:sRNA from 1 species
ACGUGCGGAAGGGGUGCCCGGGACGAAGCCAUGGCCCUGGAGGCGGCGGGAGGGCCGCCGGAGGAAACGCUGUCACUGUGGAAACGGGAGCAAGCUCGGCUGAAGGCCCACGUCGUAGACCGGGACACCGAGGCGUGGCAGCGAGACCCCGCCUUCUCGGGUCUGCAGAGGGUCGGGGGCGUUGACGUGUCCUUCGUGAAAGGGGACAGUGUCCGCGCUUGUGCUUCCCUGGUGGUGCUCAGCUUCCCUGAGCUCGAGGUAACCUGGGAGGACGCCGAGCUCGAGGUGGGCCCCUCGGUGGGCUCGGGCGUGCGGUCUCCGGGACAGGGAGCAGUGCAAGCGUAGAACCCGGCUUCUCGUUUUGUAGGAUGUCAUUAAUAGUCUGGGGAGUGGGCCGGGCGCGGUGGCUCACGCCUGUAAUCCCAGCACUUUGGGAGGCUGAGGCGGGGGAAUCACCUGAGGUCGGGAGUUCGAGACCAGCCUGACCAACAUGGAGAAACCCGGUCUCUACUAAAAAUACAAAAUUAGACGGGUGUGGUGGUGCAUGCCUGUAAUCCCAGCUACUCGGAAGGCUGAGGCGGGAGAAUCGCUUGAACCCGGGAGGCGGAGGUUGCGGUGAGCCAACAUCACGCCAUUGCACUCCAGCCUCGGCAACAAGAGCGAAACUCCAUCUCAAAAAAAAAAAA